rnacentral:rRNA from 1 species
AUUAAAUGCCUUGGUCUACUUUAUUAAAAAAAUUAAUUUAUUCAAAACAUUUUUAAACUUAGUAAAAGUGAUAGAAAGUUAUUAAAUAGGACCUAAGAAAAGUACCGUAAGGGAAUUAAUUUAAUUAAAUCAAAGAAAAAAUUAAUAUUUGUACCUUUUGCAUCAUGGUUUAGCUAGAUACUUAUUUUUUCUAAAAUUUCUCGAAAUCUGAUGAGUUAUUUUUAUUCGGUAUUUUAGUGCCAGAAGAGUAGUUGUAGCAAAAACUUUCUUAGAAAUAAAGAUGGAAAUGAAAUUUUAUUCGUAUCAGAUGAUAGCUAGUUCUUCUAAAAAGGCAUAUAAGUGCUUUAAAAUGGGUUUAAUCUUUAUAAUAUAGAUACAGAGAGUAUCUAAUUUAAUUAGAUUUUUGAGGAUAAGCUCGAAAAUUAAAAUUAUAUUUGCAUUUUAUUCUUAUUAAAAAUUUAGGCUUGAAAAUAGCUACAAUUUUGAGUUUGUUAUAAUUUCAUUAAUUAAUUAAGAAAAUAAUUGGUUUGCUUAAAAUAAAUGAAGAAAACUUUAAUAACUAAAUUAAGCUGAAUUAAUGCUAAAAUGAGUAUUACUCUAAUUUAUUUACUCCUUAACGACUUAUAGGUUAUGGAUAAUAGUUGUUUUUUAAUAUAUAAAUUAUAGAAAGGAACUCGGCAAAAUAUACAUUCUGCCUGUUUAGCAAAAACAUGGCUCCUUGAAAUUUAAUAAUAAGGAGUCGGACCUGCCCAGUGAAUUUUUAACGGCCGCGGUACUCUGACCGUGCAAAGGUAGCAUAAUCAUUUGCCUUAUAAUUGAAGGCUAGUAUGAAUGGUUUGACAUGAAUGUAACUGUCUCUUUAUAAUUUAAUAGAAUUUUAUUUUCAGGUGAAGAAGCCUGUAUUUAAUUAAAAGACAAGAAGACCCUAUCGAGCUUUAAAAAAAUUGGUAGAAUUACAAAUUAAUAUACUUAAAAAAUUUUCUAUUAAAUAUUUUAGUUGGGGCGACUGAGGAACAUAAAAAGCUUCCUUUAAAAAAUGAUUUUAAAUCAUACUAGAAUUGAUCCAAAACAUUUUGAUUAAAGGAAUUAGUUACCGUAGGGAUAACAGCAUUAUCUUUUUUAAGAGCUCAUAUCGAAAAAAAGGUUUGUGACCUCGAUGUUGGACCAGAAUAUCCUAAAGGUGCAGCAGCCUUUAAGGGUUGGUCUGUUCGACCAUUAAAAUUCUACGUGAUCUGAGUUCAGACCGGCGUGAGCCAGGUCAGUUUCUAUCUUUAAUUAUAUAGAUAAGUUUAGUACGAAAGGACCAAUUUAUUAUAAAAUAAUAUUCUUUACUGAUUAAAUUUAAUUGAUAAUUAAAUG